UACGGAGGGUGCAAGCGUUAUCCGGAUUUACUGGGUUUAAAGGGUGCGUAGGUGGGUAGGAAAGUCAGUGGUGAAAUCUUCGGGCUUAACCCGGAAACUGCCAUUGAUACUAUUUAUCUUGAAUACUUUGGAGGUAAGCGGAAUAUGUCAUGUAGCGGUGAAAUGCUUAGAUAUGACAUAGAACACCCAUGGCGAAGGCAGCUCGCUAGGCUAUUAUUGACGCUGAGGCACGAAAGCGUGGGGAUCAAACAGG
rnacentral:rRNA from 1 species